UACGUAGGGGCGAGCGUUGUCCGGAAUUAUUGGGCGUAAAGGGCGCGCAGGCGGUCUUCUAAGUCUGAUGUGAAAGCCCACGGCUUAACCGUGGAGGGUCAUUGGAAACUGGAGGACUUGAGUACAGAAGAGGAGAGUGGAAUUCCACGUGGAGCGGUGAAAUGCGUAGAGAUGUGGAGGAACACCAGUGGCGAAGGCGACUCUCUGGACUGUAACUGACGCUGAGGCACGAAAGCGUGGGGAGCAAACAGGAUUAGAUACCCGCGUAGU
rnacentral:rRNA from 1 species